CCAGACAGCCAGGAUGUUGGCUUAGAAGCAGCCAUCAUUUAAAGAAAGCGUAAUAGCUCACUGGUCGAGUCGGCCUGCGCGGAAGAUGUAACGGGGCUAAACCAUGCACCGAAGCUGCGGCAGCGACACUAUGUGUUGUUGGGUAGGGGAGCGUUCUGUAAGCCUGCGAAGGUGUACUGUGAGGUAUGCUGGAGGUAUCAGAAGUGCGAAUGCUGACAUAAGUAACGAUAAAGCGGGUGAAAAGCCCGCUCGCCGGAAGACCAAGGGUUCCUGUCCAACGUUAAUCGGGGCAGGGUGAGUCGACCCCUAAGGCGAGGCCGAAAGGCGUAGUCGAUGGGAAACAGGUUAAUAUUCCUGUACUUGGUGUUACUGCGAAGGGGGGACGGAGAAGGCUAUGUUGGCCGGGCGACGGUUGUCCCGGUUUAAGCGUGUAGGCUGGUUUUCCAGGCAAAUCCGGAAAAUCAAGGCUGAGGCGUGAUGACGAGGCACUACGGUGCUGAAGCAACAAAUGCCCUGCUUCCAGGAAAAGCCUCUAAGCAUCAGGUAACAUCAAAUCGUACCCCAAACCGACACAGGUGGUCAGGUAGAGAAUACCAAGGCGCUUGAGAGAACUCGGGUGAAGGAACUAGGCAAAAUGGUGCCGUAACUUCGGGAGAAGGCACGCUGAUAUGUAGGUGAAGUCCCUCGCGGAUGGAGCUGAAAUCAGUCGAAGAUACCAGCUGGCUGCAACUGUUUAUUAAAAACACAGCACUGUGCAAACACGAAAGUGGACGUAUACGGUGUGACGCCUGCCCGGUGCCGGAAGGUUAAUUGAUGGGGUUAGCGGUAACGCGAAGCUCUUGAUCGAAGCCCCGGUAAACGGCGGCCGUAACUAUAACGGUCCUAAGGUAGCGAAAUUCCUUGUCGGGUAAGUUCCGACCUGCACGAAUGGCGUAAUGAUGGCCAGGCUGUCUCCACCCGAGACUCAGUGAAAUUGAACUCGCUGUGAAGAUGCAGUGUACCCGCGGCAAGACGGAAAGACCCCGUGAACCUUUACUAUAGCUUGACACUGAACAUUGAGCCUUGAUGUGUAGGAUAGGUGGGAGGCUUUGAAGUGUGGACGCCAGUCUGCAUGGAGCCGACCUUGAAAUACCACCCUUUAAUGUUUGAUGUUCUAACGUUGGCCCCUGAUCGGGGUUGCGGACAGUGUCUGGUGGGUAGUUUGACUGGGGCGGUCUCCUCCUAAAGAGUAACGGAGGAGCACGAAGGUUGGCUAAUCCUGGUCGGACAUCAGGAGGUUAGUGCAAUGGCAUAAGCCAGCUUGACUGCGAGCGUGACGGCGCGAGCAGGUGCGAAAGCAGGUCAUAGUGAUCCGGUGGUUCUGAAUGGAAGGGCCAUCGCUCAACGGAUAAAAGGUACUCCGGGGAUAACAGGCUGAUACCGCCCAAGAGUUCAUAUCGACGGCGGUGUUUGGCACCUCGAUGUCGGCUCAUCACAUCCUGGGGCUGAAGUAGGUCCCAAGGGUAUGGCUGUUCGCCAUUUAAAGUGGUACGCGAGCUGGGUUUAGAACGUCGUGAGACAGUUCGGUCCCUAUCUGCCGUGGGCGCUGGAGAACUGAGGGGGGCUGCUCCUAGUACGAGAGGACCGGAGUGGACGCAUCACUGGUGUUCGGGUUGUCAUGCCAAUGGCACUGCCCGGUAGCUAAAUGCGGAAGAGAUAAGUGCUGAAAGCAUCUAAGCACGAAACUUGCCCCGAGAUGAGUUCUCCCUGACUCCUUGAGAGUCCUGAAGGAACGUUGAAGACGACGACGUUGAUAGGCCGGGUGUGUAAGCGCAGCGAUGCGUUGAGCUAACCGGUACUAAUGAACCGUGAGGCUUAACCUU
rnacentral:rRNA from 1 species